rnacentral:rRNA from 1 species
CACUGUCACUCCUACGGGAGGCAGCAGUGGGGAAUCUUGGACAAUGGGGGGCAACCCUGAUCCAGCCAUGCCGCGUGAGUGAUGAAGGCCUUAGGGUCGUAAAGCUCUUUCGCCUGUGAAGAUAAUGACGGUAGCAGGUAAGAAACCCCGGCUAACUCCGUGCCAGCAGCCGCGGUAAUACGGAGGGGGUUAGCGUUGUUCGGAAUUACUGGGCGUAAAGCGCACGUAGGCGGAUCGGAAAGUUGGGGUGAAAUCCCGGGGCUCAACCCCGGAACGGCCUCCAAAACUAAUCGGUCUAGAGUUCGAGAGAGGUGAGUGGAAUUCCGAGUGUAGAGGUGAAAUUCGUAGAUAUUCGGAGGAACACCAGUGGCGAAGGCGGCUCACUGGCUCGAUACUGACGCUGAGGUGCGAAAGUGUGGGGAGCAAACAGGAUUAGAUACCCUGGUAG